CGUGCCAGCAGCCGCGGUAAUACGAAGGGGGCCAGCGUUGCUCGGAAUCACUGGGCGUAAAGGGUGCGUAGGCGGGUCUUUAAGUCAGGGGUGAAAUCCUGGAGCUCAACUCCAGAACUGCCUUUGAUACUGAAGAUCUUGAGUUCGGGAGAGGUGAGUGGAACUGCGAGUGUAGAGGUGAAAUUCGUAGAUAUUCGCAAGAACACCAGUGGCGAAGGCGGCUCACUGGCCCGAUACUGACGCUGAGGCACGAAAGCGUGGGGAGCAAACAGGAUUAGAUACCCUGGUAGUCCACGCCGUAAACGAUG
rnacentral:rRNA from 1 species